rnacentral:sRNA from 1 species
AUAAAACAAAUAUACCACCAAAAAUAAAAUAUUUAAUGGCAUAUAUAAAUAUUUUUUUAAUUUCUAUUAAAUGUUUUAUUUUUUUUUUAAAAUAUUAAAAAAAGAUUUGCUAAUAUAAAUAAAAUUUUAAUAUUUGUAAACAAUAUAUUUAAAGUAAAUUAAUAAACGAGUUUGGUUUAAAAAACUUACGCAAAAAACAAACGUUUUUUACAAUGGAAAAUUUGGUAAAAUUGCAUUAAUUUUUAUAGUUCGAAGACUUCCAUAAUUAUGUAUAUAAGGGGUAUCGGGUAAACGACGCUAAUUUAUUAAACACACAUUGUUUUAAUUUUGCCAAGGUAACAAAAUUAUAUAAAGCAAAAUACAAAGUAAAAUGCUUUUUUAAUUUUAUAUUAUUUAAUUAAAACUGAUUUUAAAAUAGGAUUUCGUUUUGUUAAUUGGUUGGAAAAACGGAAAGGUUAAAUUUAAAUUGAAAGUACGAAAAGCAAUUUAUAAAGAAAAAAACGAUAAGCAAUAAAUCGAUCCGCCAUUAAAUACCCGUAAUACAAUUAUUUAUUUUUGCUUAAACCAAAAUAUAUUAUAUUAAAAAAAAUAUUGUUAAAUUCCGGCCCGCCGCCUUUAUAUUUACAACCAAUAUUUUUUUGGUUGGCAAAUAUUAUUUUUUUUAAAAUUAUAAAAGGGAAUUUUUU